rnacentral:tRNA from 1 species
GUCUUUGUGGCUAAAAUUAAAAGCGCAGCACUGAAGAUGCUGAGAUGAAGCAUCAAACCUCCCAUCGACA